GGGGUAUAGCGCAGUCUGGUAGCGCGCCUGCUUUGGGAGCAGGAUGUCAGGAGUUCGAAUCUCUCUACCCC
rnacentral:tRNA from 1 species